UACGUAGGGUGCGAGCGUUGCCCGGAUUUAUUGGGCGUAAAGGGCGCGUAGGCGGCCUGGCGCGUCGGUCUGUGAAAAUCUCCCGGCUCAACUGGGAGGGGACGGCCGAUACGGCUGGGCUUGAGCGAGGUAGGGGAGAGUGGAAUUCCCGGUGUAGUGGUGGAAUGCGUAGAUAUCGGGAGGAACACCAGUGGCGAAGGCAGUGUCCUGGGAAGUACCUGACGCUCAGGUGCGAAAGCUAGGGGAGCGAACAGG
rnacentral:rRNA from 1 species